rnacentral:miRNA from 1 species
CUGGGAACAGGCAGAGCAUGA